AUUGAACGCUGGCGGCAGGCUUAACACAUGCAAGUCGAGCGGAGAUGAGGUGCUUGCACCUUAUCUUAGCGGCGGACGGGUGAGUAAUGCUUAGGAAUCUGCCUAUUAGUGGGGGACAACAUUCCGAAAGGAAUGCUAAUACCGCAUACGUCCUACGGGAGAAAGCAGCGGAUCUUCGGACCUUGCGCUAAUAGAUGAGCCUAAGUCGGAUUAGCUAGUUGGCGGGGUAAAGGCCUACCAAGGCGACGAUCUGUAGCGGGUCUGAGAGGAUGAUCCGCCACACUGGGACUGAGACACGGCCCAGACUCCUACGGGAGGCAGCAGUGGGGAAUAUUGGACAAUGGGGGGAACCCUGAUCCAGCCAUGCCGCGUGUGUGAAGAAGGCCUUAUGGUUGUAAAGCACUUUAAGCGAGGAGGGGGCUACUGAGAUUAAUACUCUUGGAUAGUGGACGUUACUCGCAGAAUAAGCACCGGCUAACUCUGUGCCAGCCGCCGCAGUAAGAC
rnacentral:rRNA from 1 species